rnacentral:rRNA from 1 species
UACGUAGGUGGCAAGCGUUGUUCGGAAUUACUGGGCGUAAAGCGCACGUAGGCGGCUUUUUAAGUCAGGGGUGAAAUCCCGGGGCUCAACCCCGGAACUGCCCUUGAAACUGGAGAGCUAGAAUCUUGGAGAGGCGAGUGGAAUUCCGAGUGUAGAGGUGAAAUUCGUAGAUAUUCGGAAGAACACCAGUGGCGAAGGCGACUCGCUGGACAAGUAUUGACGCUGAGGUGCGAAAGCGUGGGGAGCAAACAGG